AGUGAACGCUGGCGGCGUGCCUAAUACAUGCAAGUCGAACGAUGAAGUCCUAGCUUGCUAGGAUGGAUUAGUGGCGCACGGGUGAGUAAUAUAUAGUUAAUCUGCCCUACACAGAGGAACAACAGUUGGAAACGGCUGCUAAUACCUCAUACUCCUAUUUGACAUAAGUUAAAUAGGGAAAGUCUUUUCGGUGUAGGAUGAGACUAUAUCGUAUCAGCUAGUUGGUAAGGUAAUGGCUUACCAAGGCUAUGACGCGUAACUGGUCUGAGAGGAUGAUCAGUCACAUUGGAACUGAGACACGGUCCAAACUCCUACGGGAGGCAGCAGUAAGGAAUAUUGCGCAAUGGGGGAAACCCUGACGCAGCAACGCCGCGUGGAGGAUGACACUUUUCGGAGCGUAAACUCCUUUUAUCAGGAAAGAAUAAUGACGGUACCUGAUGAAUAAGCACCGGCUAACUCCGUGCCAGCAGCCGCGGUAAUACGGGGGGUGCAAGCGUUACUCGGAAUCACUGGGCGUAAAGGACGCGUAGGCGGAUUAUCAAGCCUUUUGUGAAAUCUAGUGGCUUAACCACUAAACUGCUUAGGAAACUGAUAGUCUAGAGUAGGGGAGAGGUAGAUGGAAUUCUUGGUGUAGGGGUAAAAUCCGUAGAGAUCAAGAAGAGUACCCAUUGCGAAAGCGAUCUGCUGGAACCAACUGACGCUGAGGCGUGAAAGCGUGGGUAGCAAACAGG
rnacentral:rRNA from 1 species